CAAGAAAUGAGUUAUCUAUCCGUCUCUCUAUUGUGCCAGCCUAAUACCGGUUGCUAAGCGCAACCUUGACUUUUUACCUCGGAUCAGGUGGGGAUACCCGCUGAACUUAAGCAUAUCAAUAAGCGGAGGACAAGAAACCAACAGGGAUUGCCCUAGUAACGGCGAGUGAAGCGGCAAAAGCUCAAAUUUGAAAUCUGGCCUUAUUUUAGGGUCCGAGUUGUAUUUAGAGAGGAUGCUUUGGGGAUAGCAGCGCUGAAGUGCCUUGGAAUAGGACGUCAUAGAGGGUGAGAAUCCUGUAGACAGCGACCUGUGUAUCACCGAAUAAAGCUCCCUCGACGAGUCGAGUUGUUUGGGAAUGCAGCUCUAAAUGGGAGGUAAAUUUCUUCUAAAGCUAAAUAUGGGCCGGAGACCGAUAGCGCACAAGUAGAGUGAUCGAAAGAUGAAAAGCACUUUGGAAAGAGAGUUAAAAAGCACGUGAAAUUGUUGAAAGGGAAACGCUCGCGGUUAGAGGUACUAGAUUGGGCUUGGCUAGGCCUCGGCCUAGCUCACUCCCAGCCUAGUAGGCCAGCAUCGGUUUAGGCGGUAGCUUACCAGCUGCUAGAAGGUAGCUGCUCCCCUUGUGUGCGUAGCACUUAUAGCUAGCGGCGUACUUCUACCAGCCUAGACCGAGGAACCCGCGCUUUAAUGCUUGGAUGCUGGCGUAAUAGCCUUGAGCGACC
rnacentral:rRNA from 1 species